GACGAACCGUGCGAACGUUAUUCGGAAUCACUGGGCUUAAAGCGCGUGUAGGCGGAUGAGCACGUCUGUCGCUGAAAUCCCCCGGCUCAACCGGGGAACGGGCGCGGAUACGGCUCGUCUCGAGGGGCGUAGGGGGACCUGGAACUUCCGGUGGAGCGGUGAAAUGCGUUGAGAUCGGAAGGAACGCCCGUGGCGAAAGCGAGGUCCUGGACGCCUACUGACGCUGAGGUGCGAAAGCGUGGGGAGCAAACAGG
rnacentral:rRNA from 1 species